ensembl:lncRNA
CAAAUCGAGGCGAAAGUUGAUCGGUUGCUCCCACUUGUUUACUGUCUGUAGGAGCCAAUGUGUUAAUGUCAAUGUAUUUUGGGUUGUCACCACUUGGGGGCAGUAUGUGCACAUAGGGUUUUUAAGUCGGUGUUUCAUUCACGUGGAAGCAAGCUUGGUGCAGGGAACCUAUACAGUUUUUAACACACUUCAGGAAGCUAAGGUGUCCACCAUUCAUCAUUGCAAGCAAAAUUGGAGAACAAAAAAUGGCUGACUUACCAAAGGAAAGGAUCAUGCCAGAUUUGCCUCCUUUUUCCAACACUGGUGUGGACUACUUUGGACUACUUUGGACCUAUUGAUGUGAAGAGAGGUGGCAGUGUUGUUAAAAGAUAUGGAGUUAUGUUUACCUGCAUGACCAGUCGAGCAGUACACCCUGAAGUAGCCUACUCUCUGGAUACAAAUUCCUGCAUAAAUUGUAUUUCGUUGUUUUAUGUGCUGUCGUGGCCAAGUACUGCAUCUAAGAUCUGAUAACGGCACUAAUUUUAUUGGAGCAGAGAGAGAGCUUAGAAAUGCUUUGAAGAGUUUGGAUCAUGAUAAAAUUCAGCAUACUUUCCUGUCAAAAGGAAUAAAAUGGACCUUUAAUAUCCCUGCAGGAUCACAUCAUGGAGGUGUUUGGGAGAGGCUCAUUUGACUUGUAAAGAAAGUGCUGUACUUUACACUUCGACAACAAUGCUUGGAUGAUGAGAGCUUUCACACUAUUCUUUGUGAAGCUGAAGCUAUUCUUAAUGACCGUCCUAUCACAAAGCUUUCUGAUGAUCCAAAUGACUUGGAAGCUCUCACGCCAAAUCAUAUCUUGCAGUUGAGAUCAAACCCAUUUCUUCCUCUAGGACUUUUCCAAAAAAGUGACUUGUAUAUCAGACGUAGAUGGCGACAAGUCCAAUAUCUGUCUGAUCUGUUUUGGAAAAGGUGGAUAAGGGAAUAUCUUCCACUGCUUCAGGAACGACAAAAAUGGAGGAAGCCACAUAGAAACUUUACUGUUGGUGAUAUAGUGGUCAUCAUGGAUCCAAUUGCUCCACGUGGUUCCUGGUCAUUAGGCAAAAUCACUCAGACAUAUCCUGACAAAAAGGGAUUUGUACAACUGAAAAAAAAAAACAGGAUUACUGGACAGACCUGUUUCCAAAAUUUGCCUUUCAAAGAAGAAGUUCACAUACACCUUUUUUGGCUCCUUUGAUCAUUUAAAGGGGUCAUAUGAUGCGAUUUAAAAUUGUCCUUUCUCUUUGGAGUGUUACAAGCUCUUGGUGCAUAAAGAAGAUAUGUAAAAUCGCAAAGACUAAAGUCUCAAAUCCAAAGAGAUAUUCUUUAUAAAACUUGAGCUUGUCCACGCCCCCUAAAAUGGCUUGUUCUAACACGCCCCCACAUAUCUACAUCAGUAUGUGGGAAGAUUUGCAUAACGCUGCCCAGAUGUUCACGAAAGAAGGUGUACAGAUGGUAGACAACCAAAAUGGGUAAUACCGCCGCGCGUACCGGCGGCGUUAACUUCAAGUCAGUCAAGUGUUAAAAUCCUUCGCGAAACUACCACCAGGUGGCGCAAAGGGACGGAUUGCGAACUGAAUGUAAUUGUAAAAUGAGAUAAAAGGAGGAGGUAAAACAACAAUAACAUUAUGAUAUAACAUUGUACCAUCUUUAAAAAACCAUUACAAAAUGUACAGUGAGUUAAUUUCAAAAUGUAGGAUAGUCUUAGGCUACAGUCUACUCAUCAAAAAUUAAAAGAAGACCUUUACACAAAGGAUCUUAUGCUUGCUAUUGUUAUUAAACAGUCAUUAAAUAUAAGGCCUAUAUAUACGGAUAAAAAGCUAAAUGUUUUCAUUUCGGUUCAUUCUUGGUUUAAAAAAAAAAAAAUCCUUCAGGUUCCAUUUGCAGAUAGAAAUGAGAACGGUCCAGCAUUUAGCAAUAAUUAUGAUUCAUUCUGUUAUUAUUCUUGAUUUUUCAAACUGCUAACACUUUGCAUUUUUGAAUUAUGCCUUUACUGUGUGACCAAAAAUUUUGUAUUUUCUGUUUCAGCUGUUUGAUCGCGCUGGUGCCUCGCGCACAUUCAUUGGAAACAGUAGCCGUUCACCGUGCCAUUCGGUGCGAGCAGCGGUCCACUUUGGCAUAUUUUUGUUAAUUAUGAUUUUUAAUUUUUUCCCCGUCGAUACUGAAACACGCGUGAACUACAAAGCCUAUUUUUCCUAAUGAAUAAUAGUUAAGCUUGAAAUAGGCAACAUCACGAAUAUGGAAACGUUUGGAUUUCUCCCGAAUGAGAGCCCAACCUUACCUUAUGGUUCGCUUUAUAUUAUUAUUCGUUUAUUUUUUUUGUUUGUUUAUAGCUAAGCCUAUAUUAUUAUAUACUGCAAUUUUAUUUAUCCAUUAGAAUUAUAUAUUUGUAAUUAUUGUUCUGUUCUGAUAAAUUUGUUAAAUUUAAAGGAUUUGUUGUUAAGUGAAGAGAACUAAAAAUAUCCUGUUGGCACAUUAUAACAUUAUUAGGCCAGCCGUUAUUAUUUCUGAAUGUAAUAAAAUGCAACUUAUACAUGACUUAUAUAUUCUUAUAUAUAUACUUAUAUAUUUCUUCCUCUCACAAACUUAAUUUAUUUUUUAGCCUGUUUUAAAAAAUAAAUAAAUAAAUAAAUAAAAUAACAUGCAGCAAACGAAAAUAGGUGAUUAAUCGGUUAAAAUUUGUUACUGUGGGGUAAUUAUAAUUAUUAUAUACUUAGGAACAGAGUCUGGGCCUAAUCUCGGCUAUCCAGGUUAUUAUUAUUUUUUUUUUUUUAAUUUUCAUUGCAUCUGAAAAUGACUUUGUGCAGCACAUUCACGCUCAACCUGCCUCGCGCGUUGCUCAGCUGUGGACGAUUUAAAAAUGUUUGAUAUAAAGGUUGCUGUCCCAUUUUAUACAGGAAUUGUUCAUUUAAAAAAAAAAAAUCGAAUUAUAUUGUUAGUUCUAAUUAUAUUGUUAACACAAGUUAAUUUAGGCUAUUUAACAUGCACUGUGACAUUUUACCCUUUUUAACUUAUAAACUCCUUGAGAUUUUAAAGUCAGUUUAAUAGUAUUGAAGUUCAAGUUUUUAAAAAAAGGUUUUAAUUGCUUAAAUUAUUUCUAUGAAUUAAUAAUAUGUUAUCA